rnacentral:rRNA from 1 species
GUAGGCCUCAAGUGAUGUGUGACUACCCC